UACGGGGGGGGCAAGCGUUGUUCGGAAUUACUGGGCGUAAAGGGCUCGUAGGUGGCCAACUAAGUCAGACGUGAAAUCCCUCAGCUUAACUGGGGAACUGCGUCUGAUACUGGAUGGCUAGAGUGUGGGAGAGGGAUGCGGAAUUCCAGGUGUAGCGGUGAAAUGCGUAGAUAUCUGGAGGAACACCGGUGGCGAAGGCGGCAUCCUGGACCACGACUGACGCUGAGUGAGCGAAAGCCAGGGGAGCAAACGGG
rnacentral:rRNA from 1 species